CCACCACCACCACCACCCCAGCCUCGUCCCAUAGACAAAAUGGUGAAGGUCGGUGUGAACAGAUUUGGCCGUAUUGGGCACCUGGUCACCAGGGCUGCCUUCUGCUCUCCACAUGGCAAAGUGGAGAUUGUUACCAUCAAUGACCCCUUCAAUGACCUCAACUAUAUGAUCUACAUGUUCCAGUAUGACUCCACCCAUGGCAAAUUCAAUGGCACAGUCAAGGUCAAGAAUGGGAAACUUGUCAUCAACGGGAAGCCCAUCAUCAUCUUCCAGGAGCGAGGCCCGGCUAACAUCAAAUGCCGUGAUGCUGGUGCUGAGUAUGUCGUGGAGUCUACUGGCAUCUUCGCCACCAUGGAGAAGGCCAGGGCCCACUUGAAGGGUGGAGCCAAAAGGGUCAUCAUUUGUCAGCAAUGCAUCCUGCACCAACAACUGCUUAGCCCCCUUGGCCGAGGUCAUCCAUGACAACUUUGGCAUCGUGGAAGGGCUCAUGACCACGGUUCAUGCCAUCACUGCCACUCAGAAGACUGUGGAUGGCCCCUCUGGAAAGCUAUGGUGUGAUGGCCGUGGGGCUGCCCAGAACAUCAUCCCUGCAUCCACUAGUGCUGCCAAGGCUGUGGGCAAGGUCAUCCCAGAGCUGAACAGGAAGCUCACUGGCAUGGCCUUCCGUGUUCCUACCCCCAAUGUGUCCGCCGUGGAUCUGAUAUGCCGCCUGGAGAAACCUGUCAAGUAUGAUGACAUCAAGAAGGUGGUGAAGCAGGCAUCUAAGGGCCCACUGAAGGGCAUCCUGGGCUACACUGAGGACCAGGUUGUCUCCUGCGACUUCAACAGCAACUCCCACUCUUCGACCUUCGAUGCUGGGGCUGGCAUUGAUCUCAAUGACAACUUUGUCAAGCUCAUUUCCUGGUAUGACAAUGAAUAUGGCUACAGCAACAGGGUGGUGGACCUCAUGGCCUACAUGGCCUCCAAGGAGUAA